rnacentral:tRNA from 1 species
GGAUGAAAGCCUGUUGGAUUGGCGUUUAACUGUUAAUUAAAAAUUUAUGGGAUCGAAGCCCAUUUAUCCAGAG